GGGAUUGCCUUAGUAACUGCGAGUGAAGCGGCAAGAAGCUCAAAUUUUAAAUCUGGCGUCCUCGGGCGUCCGAGUUGUAAUUUGGAGGGACAUAUUCGGGGGUGGCGCCGUCCUAAGUUCCUUGGAACAGGACGUCACAGAGGGUGAGAAUCCCGUGCCAGGGCGGCUGUCCAUCACCUUGUGAAUUGUCUCCAACGAGUCGAGUUGUUUGGGAAUGCAGCUCAAAAUGGGUGGUAAAUUUCAUCUAAAGCUAAAUAUUGGCGAGAGACCGAUAGCGCACAAGUAGAGUGAUCGAAAGAUGAAAAGCACUUUGAAAAGAGAGUUAAAAAGUACGUGAAAUUGUUGAAAGGGAAGCGCUUGCGACCAGACUCGAUCUUUGGCGAUCAGCUGGGCCUUUUGGGCUCGGUGCACUUGCCACUGAUCGGGCCAGCAUCGGUUCCGAGGGCGGGAUAAAAGUUCGGGGAAUGUGGCUUCCUUCGGGAGGUGUUAUAGACCCGAUCAUAAUGCCGCCAUUUGGGACCGAGGACCGCGCUUCGGCUAGGAUGCUGGCGUAAUGGUCUUAAGCGACCCGUCUUGAAACACGGACCAAGGAGUCUAACAUCUAUGCGAGUGUUCGGGUGGAAAACCCUUGCGCGUAAUGAAAGUGAACGGAGGUGUGAACCCGCAAGGGUGCAACAUCGACCGGUCCUGAUGUCUUCGGAAGGAUCUGAGUAAGAGCAUAGCUGUUGGGACCCGAAAGAUGGUGAACUAUGCCUGAAUAGGGUGAAGCCAGAGGAAACUCUGGUGGAGGCUCGCAGCGGUUCUGACGUGCAAAUCGAUCGUCAAAUUUGGGUAUAGGGGCGAAAGACUAAUCG
rnacentral:rRNA from 1 species